UCCCCGUUACCGAGGCAGUCUGAUUAGAAAAAUACAACUAAUCAUAAGGGUUGCGCUCGUUGCGGGACUUAACCCAACAUCUCACGACACGAGCUGACGACGGCCAUGCAUCACCUGUCACUGCGUUCAAAAGCACAGUCUACUUUCGUAGACCUUCGCAGGAUGUCAAGCCUUGGUAAGGUUCUACGCUUAUCGUCGAAUUAAACCACACGCUCCACCGCUUGUGCGGGUCCCCGUCAAUUCCUUUGAGUUUUAAUCUUGCGACCGUACUCCCCAGGCGGGAUGCUUAACGCGUUAGCUUUGCUACAGAAGGGGUCGAUACCUCCUACAGCUAGCAUCCAUAGUUUACGGCGUGGACUAC
rnacentral:misc_RNA from 1 species